rnacentral:tRNA from 1 species
GCCUGGGUGGCUCAGCCGGUUAAGCAUCCGACUUCAGCUCAGGUCAUGAUCUCCCAUUUCAUGGGUUCAAACCUCAUGUCAGGCU